rnacentral:lncRNA from 1 species
UAUAAAUCUUUAUUUGAAGAACUAAUUAAUAAACGUUGAUACAAUUUGAAAACGAAACAUUAGAUUUAGAUAUAUAAUAAAUAUAAAAAUUCUAAAUAAAGUUAAAUGCGUAAAAAAUGAUAGUUAUAGAAUAUGAAAAAUUAGAAAAAUUUUACAAAAAUACGAAUUUUCACUUUGCUGUUUUACAGUAAUUUUUAACUUGGAAAACAUUUGAGCUAGAAGGAUUCCAAGUUUGUCAAGAAGGGGAUAUACAAUCAAGUUCUAUUGGACUCCGAGACACGUUUUCAUUAAAGGGAACAAAUUGGCUGAUGCUGUUACCAUAUCGGCAUCCCAAGACAUUCUCAUGUCUUUGCAGUCCCUUUCACAAAUCUUAAGCCCUUCAUUUAGUAGAACCUGAUACAGUUGUGAGAGCGUGUAUGGGAUAAACAAGUUUAGAAAACAGAAAUUUUGAAUAUGUUUGCUAUUUUUAAGAUUAUUUCAAAAGAAAAUGCAUGAGAUCAAGCUUUUAGUCGAGCAAUGGAGCCACAGAAGGAAGAGGAGAGAGAAAAUCGCCUUGAAAUGUUUCGUAUUGACUACAGUUGACUAUAAGCAUCUAUUAAUGGGCAAUGAGCAGGCAGUCUGGGAUCAGUGUAAUUGAGCCCUCUCUAUUAAGCAGAUUUUAAUUGAUUUUAAUUUAGUUGCAGAUUUUAAUUGAGUGAGUAUUUGAUAGCUUUACCAAGUUAUAUGAUAUUUAGACGCUUUUAUAUUAAUUACAGACAUAUCUAGUCUUGUUAAUAAUUUACUUAACAUAUCUUUAAGUAAAUAGUAUGAAGUCAAUAUUAUUGAUGACAUGAAAAUCAGCCACACGAAUGCAUGUAAAGUUGUUAUCUAGAGGCUGGGUUCAAUUUCAUAUUCCACACCCCAGAUUAUAUCAGAUUAUCCUGCCAGUAUCAUAGCUGAAUGCUAUGCUUUAUCUGAUUGCCAAUUAACUACAAGUUCCGGCGCGAUAAUAUCUGCUGAAAUCCGCUGUUUAGUAAAUCUCAGGUUUGAAUGCUGAGUAUGAGAGAGAGAUAUUAAUAGAAAAUGUGCACUAUGAUUAUGAGCUACAGUUCCUUUUCAACCAAUUUAUACAAUUAGUGAUAAUUUCUGUCUGACAUGAUUGAACAUCAGUGAAUCCUACGCUGAGCAAUGCGAACAAUUAUAUUGCAAAUACAUGAAUUAUUUAUAGUACUAUCUCGGAAAUAGCUAAAGAAUUUAUAAAAAAUAUGUGUGUUAUAUUUAUUUUUAAGCAUUUUUUUCGAUAAUAUAUAAAUUUUCAUUUUCAGGAAUCACAAACUGGAUUUGCAAAAGAUUUAAGGGAUGAUAUGAUUAAGAAAGACACUUUUAUCCGCGAAUACAGCUUGCAGUCUCCAAUUGAACCAUUAAAAACUGGCCAGUUCGCAUUUAUUUCUAAUAUUCGUUUGAUCAAACUGAUCAGAAAUCUAUUGAAAGGUAGCUGGUUUAUAUCCGAGGACACGCUUUUCACAAUGACCGAUGGAUUUGUUAUGAGGAAAGGAUUCCCGUAUAAGAAAGAAGUAGAUAAAGUGUAAGAUUUUUCUGUUGCAUCUUAAUUAAUUAGUCUUAACUAAUACAUGUAUCAAUACUAUAACAUUUGAAUAAUCUGAUUAUCUCUUAAAUUAAUUUAAUUCGGAAUACGAAAUUUUGAAUAUGUUUGCCAUUUUUAAGAUUAAUUCAAAUAUAUCUGCUUCAAUGUAGCACUGCUUUAUAAUCAUAUUUAGCGGUAUAUAAUUGACAAACUAUUUUUCAAAUGUGGUGAGAUAGCUGUUUAAUAAUGCAGUCAUAUGAUCCUCGAAGAUCCCGAGUUCUUUUACCUCCAGCUUUUCAGGAAGGGUCUGGUGUAAAAACUUUUAAGCUAACCUCCUUUCAGCUUAUCUUUCGAUAAUUUGAAAGACAGGCUGAUUGGAAUAAGAGGUUACGUAAUAUAUCAUCAUAUUAUUCCACCAAUAGCCUGAAUCUGAUUACAUAAUAUGUAACCCUGUACUGCUCACGUUAAGCCCCUUUGAUUUAGCUAAAAUGAUAAAUUCUUAUGCUUACAACUAAUACUACAUUUUAUUGAAUAAAACACUUCAAAUAUACAAGAUUGAAAACUAGUCUCGCUAUUUCAAAAAAUAAAAAAUGUUAAAUGUAUCAUAUAUAAUACCCUUGUUCAAACAAAAUAAUAACCUGUAUAAUUUAUAAAAAUAAG